AAUUACACUCUCGCGGUACAUUGACGUUAUCAACCUGUCAGCGCAGCAAGAAGUCGAACACACGUAUUUGCGGGCGCGCGCCUCCGUCCUCGUGAGUUCAAAGUGGAUUUUAACCGUUUACCUCAGACGACAGUUUUCAUUUCUAUGGCAAAUUCUGAGGUCAUUUUCUUGUUGUGUUUUGAUGUUUUCCAUUGGCUGAAGAGCAGAUUACCAUGCAAUUUGUAGAAGUGUGAUAAAAUAUACAGAGGUGAAGUCAUGUGUCUUUCCAGAUGCCCAAAUCUGUACCACUCAAAAAGUAAUGAGGUGACAGUGUACCAUGACAAAAAAUCUAAGAUGAGCCUGAAGAGGAGAUUUGGGAAGAUGCUGUUUUAUAAGUCUUUGCUUUGCCAGAUCACCUGUGGUAAGUCGGGAUGUCUGCUAACAAGAUGCCUUGUUGGUCUGGGCGAGUUUGAAGUCUCUCACAGACAGUCCAAGAAAGUCUGGAGUCCAUCUUAGCUUUUAUUGAUGCUGUCAUCAGGUUUUAAGUACAGUAUGAGCCAGAAUGGAAGGGUGG